CUCAUUUUCUGUUUGUGUCCCGAGGAUGACGGACCCAUCAUCGUCCGCGGUAGAUGAAUUGUUCUAAAAUAUUGCACAAACAUUUUGACUAUUACAUGAAUAUAAAACUAAUUUUAUAUAUAAAAAAGUACUUACGACGGACGAAUCCGGAGUGUUCGGAAUUAUGGUUCCAGCAACCUUUUGCCGUGUUGGUGCCGGUGUUUCCGGUAUCACUAUGUCGUUUGUUGGACGAUAAGUGUGAUAAAUAGCACACACUUGACCAAACUCAAUGAUACUUCCAUCUUUCAAUUCAUACAAACGAUUCGGGCGCAAUGUUGACUGUAUAUAUAAAAAAUAUAUCGUCAAAUAAAAUGGAUUAAUCAAAUUAUAUUUAGUAUUUUUAGUAAUAAUCACUACUAAGCAGUAAUUACGUGUAAAGCACUGAAACUUUGUACAUAUUCGGAUAAAUAGCUAACACACAGGAGGAAAAAUACCAGGAAGUUGUUAUAAAACACGCAAUAGUUCGAUUUAAUUCAACGUCGCGAAUAAUUACGAGUUAAGCAAAACGAAAAGUCACGAUCGAUAUGCACAAGAUAACGAAUACGGCUAUCAAUUGAUUAUCUUGAAACAUGCAGGAUGAAACAAGCAGGAUUAUAUGACGACAGAUUACAUCCAUCGUAUGCAUGAUAUAUAUGAUGCAAUAAUUGAGUGCUGUUAGUGAUAAAAAAAAUAGUGUAUGUUUCUCUGAGAUUUAGCCUUAGCUUAAUGUCAGUUAUCGAUGUACUUUGUACAAUACAUCAUAAAUAGUGAAAAUUUUUAUUUUCACGAUAAAACUUGUUCCAUACGACCAUAGCUGUUAAUUAUUUCAAUGAUAAUCUUUGCCGAGACAACUGCCUGAAGAAAAAACAAAAGUAAGCGAUGGAGGUUAAUUUACAUUCACGUCCAAUAGUAGCUUGCAAGUAACUUUUUGCACUUAUGUAUAUGUAUCUUUGCAUA